UACGGGGGGGGCAAGCGUUGUUCGGAAUUACUGGGCGUAAAGGGCUCGUAGGUGGCCAACUAAGUCAGACGUGAAAUCCCUCGGCUUAACCGGGGAACUGCGUCUGAUACUGGAUGGCUUGAGUUUGGGAGAGGGAUGCGGAAUUCCAGGUGUAGCGGUGAAAUGCGUAGAUAUCACUAGGAACGCCGGUGGCGAAAGCGCUCGACUGGACCUCUUCUGACGCUGAGGCGCGAAAGCCAGGGGAGCAAACGGG
rnacentral:rRNA from 1 species